UACGGGAGGCAGCAGUAAGGAAUAUUGCGCAAUGGGCGAAAGCCUGACGCAGCGACGCCGCGUGGGGGAUGAAGGUCUUCGGAUUGUAAACCCCUUUCGGGAGGGAAGAUGGAGCGAGCAAUCGUUCGGACGGUACCUCCAGAAGCAGCCACGGCCAACUUCGUGCCAGCAGCCGCGGUAAUACGAAGGUGGCAAGCGUUGUUCGGAUUCACUGGGCGUACAGGGUGCGUAGGCGGUUUGGUAAGCCUUCUGUUAAAGCUUCGGGCCCAACCCGGAAAGCGCAGAGGGUACUGCCAGGCUAGAGGGUGGGAGAGGAGCGCGGAAUUCCCGGUGUAGCGGUGAAAUGCGUAGAGAUCGGGAGGAAGGCCGGUGGCGAAGGCGGCGCUCUGGAACAUACCUGACGCUGAGACACGAAAGCGUGGGGAGCAAACAGGAUUAGAUACCCUGGUAGUCCACGCCCUAAACUAUGGAUACUAAGUGUCGGCGGGUUACCG
rnacentral:rRNA from 1 species